GCUGCACUGAAGAGAGGAUUACAGUUACCCACAAUGGGCAAACUUGUUUUUUCUGAAGCUGUGACUGAAGUUGAAAAGGGAUAUAUACUGAUUUCCUCUGACCUAAAUUACAAAUAUUAAGAAAUUGGAUGUUUCAUCAAGUGGAAGAAUUACUGUGGAAUACUUAACACUCUGCAAGCAGUUUUCUCUAGAUGAUUUUAAAGAAGACCACAAUCAUUUGAAAUAAGUGUCAAAAACAAAACAUUAACCUUCUAUAAACUUUCAAAUGCUGUGAAAUAAACAAUUUGUUGGUACAACCAACAUCACA